AUGUUUGCAAAACGAUGAUUUUUGGCAGCGAUAUUGUAUAAUGACGGGGGUAACAAGCUCAGAAGCUUAUGCUGAGUAAGAUCGGCUCCGUCUCUCAGCCGGGACACUGGCGCAGCAUUUGCCUAUUCACUCCCAGGGAUGCGCAGUCGGACAGCCGCAUUUUUUUUUCAAUUAUUUAUCUCCGUCGCAAUUCACGUUUCUUUCUCUUAUGACAAAGGGUUAUUGUGCCUGUAUGUAUUUACUCAUAGUCCAGUGGCAGCAGAAGAAGCAGGGGCGGUGCGGAUAGCUCUACUCGCUGCCGGGGAGGAUUAUUUUUCUUGACCGUGCGUGCUGCUCUUCCUCUUCUCUUUGUAGCCUGUUAGUCGGGCCUGCUCCUGUCCGGCCUGUCUGCGCUCUCUGCGGUACUGUCUGUCUGUCUGUCUGUCUGGUGAGCAGGCUACUUGUCUGUCUCCCUGUCUCUUAUAAUUAAUGGCCUUCGCCUCCAGACGGUCCUCUGGGAAACAGUGACCACGGUUACCUCCACAUUGGCUCUCAGUGUGCAUGCCACAUUGGAGUGCAGGCCCGGGAACACACAGGGCUGCUUCAGUCGGACGGUGAUUGAACAUUUGCACAGGCCUUCCACGUGUGAAGCGAGCCACAAGAAAUGGGGCAUGAAGGAAGCAGGUGACAGAGAACAGCCAUAAGGAGACCCUGAUAUGGAUCAAGAAGACAUAAUCUAGAAGGGAGUAGGCCAGUGAAGUAAAGGAGCAGGGGAGAUAUGAGAUAAUAUACAAAACAAGGCUGAGCAGCACACUCAAAGCGCUUUCACACUAUUUGGCCAG